GUACAGUAAAUUGACAAUAAAAUACUGGAGUUUCUGGAGUAUCUGUUUAAAAGAACCCAUUUGUAAAGUCCAUCUGUAAUAGUAAAUCACUAGUGACUGUUAUAUAUUGUAUCAGUUUCUCCCAGUUCUUGUAGCUACAUAUCUUUCUCUCUCUCCCUCUCUCUCUCUCUUCCUCUCACAUAACACACAGAGAAAAUUUUCCUGUUACAAAUUGUAAGAAUUGUUUUUCCUCACAUCCUUCCCAAAAACAUGGCUAUUCACUAGCAAUUUGCCAAAACUUGAUAAUGCUAAAAUAACGUCUUGCACGUACUAUCCCAAAAAUGAGAAGAGAACUGAUUUGCAGAAGAAAUCCUUCAUGUAGAAGCCUUGAGACAAGAAUACUAGCUAUGAACAAAAAAUAUCCUAUGUGAUGGGAAUUUCUGUGUGAACUGCUUCCAAAACCCAAGUUAAUCUAUAUUGAAAGUGCCAUUUUCAAGCUGAAUGAGCUGUUACAAAGCCUUACUGUUACUGUUUCUAUUUUUGUCCUUGUUAUUAUUCUAAGCACACUUAUUGUUUGGGGAGCAAUGAAAACUGUAUAAUGUUCAAAGGCAGAAAGUAUCAGUAUUUAGUGCAAGCCUUUUGUCACUCUUCUCACAGCAAAUCACUUGUAAUAGCAAUGGUGUAAAAAAUGACGAUGGCCCCACCAAACUUGCAGCAUUCUGCACUUCAGUUUACCAGGGCUGCACUAGCUGCAGGUUAAAAGAAGCAUGACUAAGUCAGUCAAGGAAAAUGCUUUACCCUCAAGGCUUUCUAGUCCACUCCACAAUAUGGGGAUGUCUCAGCCACUUUCAAAGGAAUGGGAGAUUUGUAGGGUAGACGGUACCAAUUAUGUGUAAUCAGGAGUCAAUGCAGACUUCAGAGCACCAAAACUUUCCACAUAUCACAUGUCAGUUAUAUUACUGACAUUUUUUGCAACUUCCUGAUAUUUUGAAAAUCCUCAGAUUGUAAUUUAGAUUAUUAAAACCUUGGUUUGAGAGAGCAAUGGGAAAGCAAAAGUUCACUACUGCACUUUCUCAAUAGAAGGGCUGUGUCCAAAAAAGGAGGUUUGGCUUUAAACACAUUCUUGUCUAAUGCAAUCUAAUCUAGCCACCAAGUCAAAGCUUAAUACAGAAAGAUCUUAUCCUGAAACAACUGGUAUGGUUGGAUAUGUUUUCUGUGCUCAUGUGUAUGUUUUGUUUAUGUAUGUAUAGAUGUGGUCAUGACUUGUGUGGGCACAAGCCAAAAAUAGUUAGAAGCAGUGUGUAUUCUAAUGAUGUUUAGUGCCAUGAUACUGAGCGAAACAGCAGAAGUAGGAAAUCUCAUGGCAAACUUAUUCUUGUGCUAUGGAACUGAACAGGUCCUCUAGCAAGAGGAAGCCCAAGAAAAGAAACAGUUAUACAGUUUGUAUUCUUUCUUAAGAUGAAAAGUGAAAUCAAUUUGGGAAGUAAAAAUACAGGUCACAGGAAGAACAGGAAAGGAACAAAGAGACAGAAGUAGUUGCAUAGAGAAAUGUCAGGUAAGCCUAUUUGGUGAAAGCACUUGAAAGCACUUUGGAAAAUAACAAUGGUCUCCAAGGAUUUCUGAUGGAGCAGUCUCACAUUCUAUAAUUUGCACUGAAGGCUCUCACAUACAAGCAGCAUCUUGAAAUGUCACCUUUUCUCAUCUCUAAUCUCUCCAGUGGAUGUCCAGCUAAGUACCUGGGGAUCUCACAGCAACUAAGCUGUUAAACUUUUAUCACCUGAAAGAGUAAACCUCGUCACCUUGAACAGGAUUUUCUUCACGGGAAUCUAGUACUAUGAAUUGGAGUCAGGACUUUUCUGCUAUUACCAUCCAAAAUGUAAAACCCAAGUGUUAAUAUUCUGUAAUGAAGACAUGCAGAAGGGGAAGUAAAUACCUAGAGAAAGUUCACAGAGCCGAAAUAGAGCAGGACUCUUGGAGAUAAUCAAAUUGGGAGGCCAAUAUGGAAAAAGGCUACAGAGUUUGAAAAGCAAUGUGUGGAAGAGAUAGUGGAAGGAAGAAAAAAUGAUGGCAAGAAAGGACAUGACUGCUUGUGAUUGCAGUCCUCAAGCCAGCUCAGUAAUGCUUCUGGGAAAGCAAAAAUGGGAUGCAAGAUGAAUGAGAGACUGGUGCAAAAGAGGAGAGAGACUGCAGAGCUCUCCCUACAGACUCUGCAUAUAUGAGGUGGAAGUAAGCAGUUACUACACAACUGGACUCAUCAUGUGGGUAACCUGUCAUCCAAGAAUCCAAAUUACAGUUUACCCCUUUAAUAAGGUCCUAAUACCCUGUGGACAAAAUGCAACACUCCUUGAGUUCAUUUAGUCACAUGGAAUAACAAGACUGUAAUCCCUGGUGGAUAUAAUAAUCUCCGAGCAGUUCACUAAAUGUGAACUCGGCGUGUUCUAUGAUUUUGUGAUUUCUAUUCAAUCUAGCUCUAGAGAACAAGAGAAAAAGAAAUACCACUGCAGUGGGAAUCCUGACUAAGGCUAUCACUAGAAAUGCCAACAGUCUUCUAGUUCUGAUCACAAGUGUUAUUUUUCUACAUAAUAAGGAGAGCAUGAGAGAGGAAAAUCAUAAUGCAGGUUCUUGUUCUAUUCUUUUUUUUUUUUUUUUUUGAGCACAGGCCUGUUGUCUGCAAUGUCUCACAAGUACUAGAGGCACUAAAUAUUUUUAACAGAACUCAGAACUCUCCUGCAGAAGAAAGAUUUUUCCCAUACAAUGUCUACAUUGAAUGGAAAUAUUUAAAAGUCUAGGAACACCUGGAUAAUAAAUAUCUGAAUCUUUUUCUUACUUAAUCUAUAACACCCUUUUUCUGACUUCCUCAAAUGAUAUUUUGAUGGGUUUUGUUUAGGUUUUUUGGGGGUUUUGGGGUUUAUUUAACAGAUCAUGCUAUGCUUUAAUGCUGCUAGCAAAACUUUCUGUAUUGCAUUACACCUCUUAUUUUCUCCGUCUGUUUUCUCUGAUUUACACUAAAAGGGGGAGAAUAACACUGUUAAACUGUUCAGUAGGUCACUGUAAAGCAGUAAAGUAACUGAAUUCAAAUACUGGAUUAAGUUCCAGAUGGUUGCUGCUUCGAAGUUCGGCAAAGAAUGGCUGCAGCGGCGGAGGAUUGAUCAUCCCUUUUCUGGAAGGACGCGACACUACAUUGUUGCUGAUCAACAGCGCCACUUUCUGCUGAAAGAAAAUCAUUACGUCUCGGGGAGAGGCAGUCUGGUAAACUGAUUUCAGUGACUUGACGCAAAUCACAAACCUUCCUCCUUGGUAGCUGGCUGGCUGUAUAAGAAACUUCUUCAUCAAAAUACGUGAAGUGCAUUCCAGAAAUGUUGCAGUCUGAUAAUGAGGCCUGAUGCUUAGAUGGAAAUGGAAAAAUGCAUGUUUGCUUUAGAGUUUUGUUCAAACAAUUUCAUUCUUACUUCCCCACCAGCAUCACCACCAUCUUGACCAUUCGUGCAUCACAACCUUAUGUCUAUAGUCUAAUGAAUGAUGUAAAUGCUGUGAUUUAUACAUAAAAUAAAAUCUUGUGAAGACUGCAUUAUUUCAUGUCAUUGCCUAUUUCAACAAAUGCACAUAAGAGUUCAUGAAGAUUCUUCACGGAAACAGACUUUUUUUAAAAAUAUUUUCGUGUAUAAUCCAGUGGGUAUUGAUAACUGCUAAAGCUCACAAACUA